GUGCCAGCAGCCGCGGUAAUACGUAGGGGGCAAGCGUUGUCCGGAAUCAUUGGGCGUAAAGAGCGUGUAGGCGGCCAGAUAAGUCCGCUGUGAAAACUCGAGGCUCAACUUCGAGCUGUCGGUGGAAACUAUUUGGCUAGAGUCCGGAAGAGGAGAGUGGAAUUCCUGGUGUAGCGGUGAAAUGCGCAGAUAUCAGGAAGAACACCCGUGGCGAAGGCGGCUCUCUGGUACGGAACUGACGCUGAGACGCGAAAGCGUGGGGAGCGAACAGGAUUAGAUACCCUGGUAGUCC
rnacentral:rRNA from 1 species